GCCGUGGUAGCUCAGUGGUAGAGCACGUCAUUGGUAAUGACGGGGUCGGCAGUUCAAUUCUGCCUCACGGCACCA
rnacentral:tRNA from 1 species